CUCCACCUGUCGCCCCGGAUCAGCCUGCCCCACCGGCUGCAGUUCAUCCCGAUUUGCGGGUGCCAGCUCAUGCACCAUUCGCAAGAUACACCGUCGAGGAUUUGCUUGCCCAGCCCGGACGAGAGGGUUUACACGUUCUGGACCCCGAUAGACCCCCGGGUACUUAUUGGUUUGGGGCUAACAACCGUGUUAGCCGGAGCGUUUCAGAGACGAUGAAGGGAUAUUAUGACGGCCCUUAUCCCAACUGGACCAUGACUCCCGAUCACGUCAAGACGACGUGGUUUAAAUGUUUUGCGGUAAUUAUAUUUACAUAUUAUUAAUAUUUAUAUUGUUAAUUAAAUAAUUAUUAUUAUUUUUUUCUAAUCUUUUAAAAUGUUUGUUUUUUCAGCAAAGGUGGAACUGGUCCGUAGGAAUCACCGAGAGGGUGAAGAGCGAAUUUAUUGCAAAGGCGAAAACUCGUCUUUGCAACACCGUCUCCGAUUGGAAGGACAAGUGGGAGAUUUACGGCUAUGAGGGGAAGCCGAGCGGGGUCACAAAGGAAGCAUGGGAUGGCCUCAUCACCUAUUGGAACGAACCCAGCUCCAUCCGCAAAGCCAACUCCUGCUCCGCUUCCC